rnacentral:rRNA from 1 species
UACGUAGGGUGCGAGCGUUAAUCGGAAUUACUGGGCGUAAAGCGUGCGCAGGCGGUGAUGUAAGACAGAUGUGAAAUCCCCGGGCUUAACCUGGGAACUGCCUUUGUGACUGCACGGCUAGAGUGUGUCAGAGGGGGGUAGAAUUCCACGUGUAGCAGUGAAAUGCGUAGAGAUGUGGAGGAAUACCGAUGGCGAAGGCAGCCCCCUGGGAUAACACUGACGCUCAUGCACGAAAGCGUGGGGAGCAAACAGG